CCGAAGGCCUCGUUCGUCGGAGCGAAGAUCGUGAGGUCUACUGGCAUUGACAGCUUCUCCGCAAACCCCGCCGUACGCAGCAGCGACACCAGCAUCCUGCGAGGGAUCGGCACGGGUGGCAUGCAGUGAAAGACUCUGCGGAGGAGAGGGGUCACAAGAGACAUAGGAGAGGACAAGACGAUCAGCUCCGGUAGCAGUGCAGCUGCACUGCUUGCGCGCUCGGUAACUGCGUCCGCAAAUCCCCACCGGAGUCGGGCAGCACGAGGUGGUCGAUGAGGUGCAC